rnacentral:rRNA from 1 species
AUACGGAGGGUGCAAGCGUUAUUCGGAAUCACUGGGCGUAAAGGACGCGUAGGCGGGUUGGCAUGUCAGAUGUGAAAUCCUACAGCUUAACUGUAGAACUGCAUUUGAAACUGCUAACCUAGAGUAUGGGAGGGGGAGAUGGAAUUAGUGGUGUAGGGGUAAAAUCCGUAGAUAUCACUAGGAAUACCGAAAGCGAAGGCGAUCUCCUGGAACAUAACUGACGCUAAGGCGUGAAAGCGUGGGGAGCAAACAGGAUUAGAUACCCUAGUAGUCC